rnacentral:rRNA from 1 species
UGGGGAACCUGCCCCAUAGUCUGGGAUACCACUUGGAAACAGGUGCUAAUACCGGAUAAGAAAGCGGAUCGCAUGAUCAGCUUUUAAAAGGCGGCGUAAGCUGUCGCUAUGGGAUGGCCCCGCGGUGCAUUAGCUAGUUGGUAAGGUAAAGGCUUACCAAGGCGAUGAUGCAUAGCCGAGUUGAGAGGCUGAUCGGCCACAUUGGGACUGAGACACGGCCCAAACUCCUACGGGAGGCAGCAGCC